rnacentral:sRNA from 1 species
AUGGCUGUCGUCAGCUCGUGUCGUGAGAUGUUGGGUUAAGUCCCGCAACGAGCGCAACCCCUACUUUUAGUUGCCACCAUUUAGUUGAGCACUCUAAAAGAACUGCCAGUGAUAAGCUGGAGGAAGGCGGGGAUGACGUCAAGUCCUCAUGGCCCUUACGUGUUGGGCUACACACGUGCUACAAUGGCAUUUACAGUGAGAAGCAAAGAUGCGAGUCUAAGCCAAUCCCUAAAAAAUGCCUCAGUUCGGAUUGUACUCUGCAACUCGAGUACAUGAAGCUGGAAUUACUAGUAAUCGCGGAUCAGCGUGCUACGGUGAAUACGUUCUCGGGCCUUGUACACACCGCCCGUCACGCCAUGGGAGUUGGUUUUACCUUAAGCCGGUGCGCUAACCGUAAGGAAGCAGCCGUCCACGGUAGGGUCAGCGACUGGGGCGAAGUCGUAACAAGGUAACCGUAGGGGAACCUGCGGUUGGAUCACCUCCUUUCUAAGGAUAUUGAUGUUUGUUUAGGCAGGCAUCCGGAUUGUUGUCUAUUUAUCUCUUUAUAAUAUUAGCUAAGUGCUAGGUGUUUCCUUAAUCAAACUGGGCCGGUAGCUCAGUUGGUUAGAGCGCGCGCUUGAUAAGCGUGAGGUCGGAAGUUCAAGUCUUCCCAGGCCCACCACUCUUAUCGGGGCCGUAGCUCAGUUGGGAGAGCGCCUGCUUUGCAAGCAGGAGGUCGUCGGUUCGAUCCCGUCCGGCUCCACCAAAAACUUGCUGGAUCCGGCCGGUUCCUAGAACUGGCUUGGCGGCUCCGCAAUUGUCUUUUGUAGACUGAUCUCGAUGGAAAUAGGGAAGUUGGUUUUGCGCCGUGAUAAGGUUCAGGUCUUCGGGCUUUUAUCUUGUUGCGGGUUUUUUGACAGAGUGAAGAGGGUUUGUAAUCGCCGCGUGGCGUCUUGCCUCACUGAUGUGAGGAGGCAGGAAAGCGCGCGGCACGAGUUGCUGGCGCGUGUCUGUCCGGUGCUUUGGUUUACCUGUUAUCGACCAAAGCGGUAGCUCGUAUGGUGGUAGAAUACUGCUUGGGUAUUUGCCGUUGUGCGUGGUUAGGAUGGUCAUGCGUGUCAAGCGUCUUAAGGGCAUUUGGUGGAUGCCUUGGCGUCGAGAGGCGAUGAAGGACGUGGUACGCUGCGUUAAGCCGUGGGGAGCUGCGAACAAGCUUUGAUCCGCGGAUAUCCGAAUGGGGAAACCCGG